UAUGGUGAUUCCCUUUGAUGGGUUACGCAGUUAUGAUCUAUCACAUUGAUUGAAACCAUGGAUUAGUAAGAGGAAGUAUAUCCCAAUUUAAGGUUUUGAUGCCCCCGAAAGACCUCCAUCGGUGAUGCAGUCGGCGCUCUUCGAGGCAGCUGCUCGGUCAGCCCACUCUUACCGACGAUGAAGCGGAAGAAGUGGAGGGAGGAGGAGGAGGCGACGCUGAUCCGGGAGUACGCGGCCCUGCUGUCGCCGCCGUCGGGAGGCGCCCUCCUCCUGGCCAGGCUCCGCACGCGGGAGAAGAAGUUCCAGCCGAUCGCGGACCGGGUGAAUGCCGCCCACCACCUCCGCGACCCCGUGGCCUUCCCCUUCCGCUGGUCCUGGCGGGACGUCUCCGUCAAGAUCCACAACAUGCGACACCAGUUCCUCCACGUCAAGCGCAAGCUCCUCCCCCUCCCCGCCCACCUCCACCCCGACCACGCCCUCCACCUCUGGCCAAACUUCCUCCUCUACACGCAGGUCUUCGGCGAUCAUCUGGAGCCCCACCUCCGCCCCUCCUCCAAAACCCCCGCUUCCGACGGUGAUCGUGAGGAUGAUGAUAGCCUCAACGAAGAAGAUUACGAAUAUGAAAAUGAUGACGUUGAGGAGGAGGACGAGGCGCAAUUGGCCACCGAUCUCUCUGCCUCCGAUCAAGAAGUGGCGGACGAUGAGGAAAGGAUCGAUGCAGAACUCGUGCAUCGAGAAGAAGAAGGGGAGGAAGCGCUAGGGUUGCGGCGUCUCCUUCCUCGCCGCCGCCGUGGGAAAAAGAUGGGAUUUUUGGGAGCCGACAUGGUGAGGCUUGGCGAGAUCGCGAUGAGGAGGGAGGAGCGAAGACGCGAAAGGGAGGCAUCGAGGGAGGAAGAAGAUCGCGAAAGGGAGCGGCGGAAGAGGGCCUUGGAGCACCAAAGACAGAUGGAUGAGGAGGAGGAGAGGAGGGAGCAGUGGCGAAGGAGGAUGAGUAGGGAGGAGAGGAGGGAAGAAGAGGAGAUGGAGUGGAGGGAGAGGAUGCUGGUGAUGCAGAUGGAGCACGAGAAGCAGGUGAUGCAGAUGCAAGCCGAUGCUUUCCAGGAUCAGAUGCAAAUGAUCGCCAUCCUGGUCAGGGUCAUUUGCCAGUUCCUUGGAGGAGGGACCGCCGGUGGUGGUGAUGGUGGGAUUGGGGGAAUUCAGCACCAUGUGAUGCAGCAGCAGCAGCAGAAGCAAGAGGAGUCACCAGAGAGCUUAGUGGGCGAUGGUGGGAAGAAUGGUGAUCAUUCUGGUGGGCGCUAUACUUAGAUUCAUGCUGUAUCUUAUACUGACAAAGAAAAUUAUGGUGUUGUAUUUAAUUUUCACUGUAGGAAGAUAAAGAACCAAGAUUGUCUUCUAAUCAAGAUAAGCUAGAAAUGGACGGGUGUCAGCUAAAUGCCCACCAGAUAGACUGCCGGCUUCCACUUCCAAACUAUGGUGAACUACGAGUUAUAUGAUCUUUUAUUCUCAUGGUUGCUAAAUUUUUACGCGGAAACAUGAUGUCGAAUUUGACCUAUGGAUAUAGCUACACAGAAUGUUUAUCUCCAAUUUAUUUUUCCCAUUGUUUCAGUAGCUUAAUGGUAUCCCUUUGAGUUAUCCAAAUGGAUCAAGAUCAGAUUUAAUCUCA